rnacentral:rRNA from 1 species
GCCUAACACAUGCAAGUCGAACGGAUCCUUCGGGAUUAGUGGCAGACGGGUGAGUAACGCGUGGGAAGCUACCUUGUGGUAGGGAACAACAGUUGGAAACGACUGCUAAUACCCUAUGAGCCCUAUGGGGGAAAGAUUUAUCGCCAUGAGAUGUGCCCGCGUUAGAUUAGCUAGUUGGUAAGGUAAUGGCUUACCAAGGCGACGAUCUAUAGCUGGUCUGAGAGGAUGAUCAGCCACACUGGGACUGAGACACGGCCCAGACUCCUACGGGAGGCAGCAGUGGGGAAUAUUGGACAAUGGGGGCAACCCUGAUCCAGCCAUGCCGCGUGAGUGAUGACGGCCU